rnacentral:rRNA from 1 species
AGACUUUGAUUAUGGCUCAGAACGAACGCUGGCGGCAGGCCUAACACAUGCAAGUCGAGCGCACCUUUUCGGAGGUGAGCGGCGCACGGGUGAGUAACGCGUGGGAACCUACCCUGGGGUAGGGGAUAACCGCUGGAAACGGCGGCUAAUACCCUAUACGUCCUUCGGGAGAAAGAUUUAUCGCCCUGGGAUGGGCCCGCGUCGGAUUAGCUAGUUGGUGGGGUAAAGGCUCACCAAGGCGACGAUCCGUAGCUGGUCUGAGAGGAUGAUCAGCCACACUGGGACUGAGACACGGCCCAGACUCCUACGGGAGGCAGCAGUGGGGAAUAUUGGACAAUGGGCGCAAGCCUGAUCCAGCCAUGCCGCGUGAGUGAAGAAGGCCUUAGGGUUGUAAAGCUCUUUCACCCGCGAAGAUGAUGACGGUAGCGGGAGAAGAAGCCCCGGCUAACUCCGUGCCAGCAGCCGCGGUAAUACGGAGGGGGCAAGCGUUGUUCGGAUUUACUGGGCGUAAAGGGCGCGUAGGCGGAUGUUCGCGUCAGAGGUGAAAGCCCCGGGCUCAACCUGGGAACUGCCUUUGAAACGGGACAUCUUGAGUUCCGGAAGAGGGUAGCGGGAA